UACGUAGGGGGCAAGCGUUAUCCGGAUUUACUGGGUGUAAAGGGAGCGUAGACGGUCAUAUAAGUCUGGAGUGAAAUCCCGGGGCUCAACCCCGGGACUGCUUUGGAAACUAUGAGACUGGAGUGCAGGAGAGGUAAGUGGAAUUCCUAGUGUAGCGGUGAAAUGCGUAGAUAUUAGGAGGAACACCAGUGGCGAAGGCGGCUUACUGGACUGUAACUGACGUUGAGGCUCGAAAGCGUGGGGAGCAAACAGG
rnacentral:rRNA from 1 species